rnacentral:rRNA from 1 species
GAUGAACGCUGGCGGCGUGCUUAACACAUGCAAGUCGAACGAAGCACCUCUCCCGAAGAUUGACACAGCUUGCUGUAGAUUGAUUCAUUUGAGGUGACUGAGUGGCGGACGGGUGAGUAACGCGUGGGUAACCUGCCUCAUAGAAGGGGACAACAGUUGGAAACGACUGCUAAUACCGCAUAGUAAGAAGAAUUCGCAUGUUUUCUUCUUGAAAGAUUUAUCGCUAUGAGAUGGACCCGCGUCUGAUUAGCUAGUUGGUAAGGUAACGGCUUACCAAGGCGACGAUCAGUAGCCGGCUUGAGAGAGUGAACGGCCACAUUGGGACUGAGACACGGCCCAAACUCCUACGGGAGGCAGCAGUGGGGAAUAUUGCACAAUGGGGGAAACCCUGAUGCAGCGACGCCGCGUGAGUGAAGAAGUAUUUCGGUAUGUAAAGCUCUAUCAGCAGGGAAGAUAAUGACGGUACCUGACGAAGAAGCCCCGGCUAACUACGUG